rnacentral:lncRNA from 10 species
AGUGCUCAUCACACUGUGAUACAGUUACUUACUAAUAUCUUUUUCUACUCAAUUUUCUGUGCACUCACAGAAGGCAGAAACUGUACCUUUCAUUUCCAUGAUUCUCAUGGAUAAAGCCCUCAAUAAAUGUUUGCCAGAUGAAUGACUUGCCCAAGGUCACACUGCUAAUAUAUGGCAGAACCGGGACCAGAACCAAGACCUCCGACUCCCCAGAUCCCAUAUCCUUGCUGUUCUCCUGGGAUGUUUUCUGGAAGAAAAUGAGCUGUGGGCCUAAAAAGAAGCCAAUCAAGCAUUUGGCAGAAUGUGUUUUUGUGAACGAUCUGAAGAAAUCUACCCAGGGAAUUUUAUCAUUUUUGCUGCCACUAUAAGUGAGGUAUUUUUCCUGUCACAUUUUCUGAGUGGUUAUUGCCAGUAUAUAGGCUACACAUUUACUUUGAAGGUACAAUUUUAUCAUCUCCCACUGUCUCAUCUCAGCAGGAACUGGAUAUUUGUGUUGAAGGAAGACCCUCUGAGACUGGUCAGUAUGCCUGCU